rnacentral:rRNA from 1 species
GAUGAACGCUGGCGGCGUUCCUAAUACAUGCAAGUCGAGCGAACAGACGAGGAGCUUUCUCCUCUGACGUUAGCGGCGGACGGGUGAGUAACACGUGGAUAACCUACCUAUAAGACUGGGAUAACUUCGGGAAACCGGAGCUAAUACCGGAUAAUAUAUUGAACCGCAUGGUUCAAUAGUGAAAGACGGUUUUGCUGUCACUUAUAGAUGGAUCCGCGCCGCAUUAGCUAGUUGGUAAGGUAACGGCUUACCAAGGCAACGAUGCGUAGCCGACCUGAGAGGGUGAUCGGCCACACUGGAACUGAGACACGGUCCAGACUCCUACGGGAGGCAGCAGUAGGGAAUCUUCCGCAAUGGGCGAAAGCCUGACGGAGCAACGCCGCGUGAGUGAUGAAGGUCUUCGGAUCGUAAAACUCUGUUAUUAGGGAAGAACAAAUGUGUAAGUAACUAUGCACGUCUUGACGGUACCUAAUCAGAAAGCCACGGCUAACUACGUG